GCAGUAGCCGCGGUAAUACGAAGGGUGCAAGCGUUAAUCGGAAUUACUGGGCGUAAAGCGUGCGUAGGCGGUGAGUUAAGUCUGCUGUGAAAUCCCCGGGCUCAACCUGGGAAUGGCAGUGGAUACUGGCUCGCUAGAGUGUGUCAGAGGAUGGUGGAAUUCCCGGUGUAGCGGUGAAAUGCGUAGAGAUCGGGAGGAACAUCAGUGGCGAAGGCGGCCAUCUGGGACAACACUGACGCUGAGGCACGAAAGCGUGGGGAGCAAACAGGAUUAGAUACCCGGGUAGUCCCUGUCUCUUAUAU
rnacentral:rRNA from 1 species